GGAGAGUCAGAGGCCAGAGAGGCUGGAUGAGGCCAGAGGAGGGUGAGGUGGCUGCAUGGCUUGCUCUAGCAGCCAGGUCCCUCACAAUCAUUUUUUCGAGCACUAGCCAUCCUGGAGAAAGCCCAGGCAGAUGUCAUGGGGAUGUGCCCCAGCAGUUCCCCAACACUCAUAUCCCAUUCAAGAAAUGGACACACACCAAAAUGAAGAAGAAGAAAGUGGAAGAAGGGGAAUGGUCACCUCCUCUACCACCUCAGACUGGGGCCCUCAGCCCAAAUUGAAUGGCCCUCAUCCACGAUGGAUGCCCCUCGACUGUGAUGGAAAUGAGCUUUGCAGUCAACCAACCUGGGGCCAAACCCAAGUGCUGCUGACAGUUCUGCAAGCCUGGACUGACUGGUUGGUUAUUCCACUCUGAGAACCUCAGUCUCAUCUGGAAAAUGGGACAAUAAGGGGCUGAAUUUGAUAGGCUGUGGUGAGACUUCCAUGAGGCUGUGAAGGAUGAAAAGACCUGGAAAGCUGAAAAAGGAAGUUCCUCUCCUGGAGGACGAGUGCUCAGAUGCAGAGCUGAGUAGGAGCAGUCAACUCCAAAAGAGGAGAGGAAGGGAUGUGACCAGAGGGGACAAAGUCUGCAGGAGAGGAUGUGCAGGGUUCCAGGCGUCCUGCAGAGAACAGAUUUCUCUUGGGAUGUGAAGUGUGGCGUCAGACAGAGAAAGGACCGGAUGCCAGGAAGGAUCAACAGAAUUAGCUGGAACUUGGCCUAGAGGUGGGGACAAUCAGGAUAAGCCUCCCAUAAUAGCACCUGGCUUGCACACAGAACAUGCUCCAUAAAUACUUAUUAAAUCAAUGGAUCAAGAAGAAUGAGAUUUUCCUACUAGAUUCUUAACUGAUCUCGCUGCCUCUUUGGACUCUGGCCUCCCGUACAGCCAUCCCCAGAAUGCUAACAUAGGGGUCAAACUCUGACACAGUCAUUCUUGCUUGGGACCCGUGGGCACCUCUCUUCCUACAAGAGGCAGAGGUCACAUGCUAGUGGCCAGAUGGGGAUUAUAGACCUUUUCUGUUUGGCCUGA